GAGUUUGAUCUUGGCUCAGGACGAACGCUGGCGGCGCGCCUAACACAUGCAAGUCGAACGAGCGAGAGAGAGCUUGCUUUCUCGAGCGAGUGGCGAACGGGUGAGUAACGCGUGAGGAACCUGCCUCAAAGAGGGGGACAACAGUUGGAAACGACUGCUAAUACCGCAUAAGCCCACGGCUCGGCAUCGAGCAGAGGGAAAAGGAGCAAUCCGCUUUGAGAUGGCCUCGCGUCCGAUUAGCUGGUUGGUGAGGUAACGGCCUACCAAGGCGAUGAUCAGUAGCCGGUCUGAGAGGAUGAACGGCCACAUUGGGACUGAGACACGGCCCAGACUCCUACGGGAGGCAGCAGUGGGGAAUCUUCCG
rnacentral:rRNA from 1 species